UGAAGAAAUUAGAAGGAGAGGCGAAGGAGAAUGAGAAUGCAGAGCCACACAAAAUAGAAUAGAGAGAGUGAAGGUGUGGGACAUCACAUAGCAAUAACAUGGCUUCUUCUACUCUGAGCCUCUCCACCACCUCCUACUCCUAUCUCCCCAACACCAAACACCGGUUUUCCUAUCCCAGAAUGAAGUUAGUCUCCUCCAACUCCAAGCACCGCGCUUUCUCCGUCUCAGCUUCUGCUUCACCUUCGCUUCAGGCUCUCAUCUUCGACUGCGACGGCGUCAUCCUCGAGUCUGAGCACCUGCAUCGCCAGGCCUACAACGAUGCCUUUCUUCACUUCAACGUUCGCUGCCCCUCUUCUUCUUCUCCGGCCCCACUCAACUGGGACAUCCAAUUCUAUGACGAACUCCAGAACCUCAUUGGUGGAGGCAAACCCAAAAUGCGAUGGUACUUUAAGGAACAUGGCUGGCCUUCCUCCACGUUGUUUGCCACGCCUCCAACUAAUGAUGAGGACCGGGCUAACUUGAUUGACACUCUUCAGGAUUGGAAGACUGAGAGAUACAAAGAUAUAAUCAAGUCGGGAACUGUGAAACCCAGACCUGGAGUUCUGAGAUUGAUGGAUGAGGCCAGAGAUGCUGGGAAAAAGCUAGCUGUUUGCUCUGCAGCGACUAAAAGUUCAGUUAUUCUCUGUCUUGAAAACCUUAUAGGACUUGAGCGCUUUCAAAGCCUUGAUUGCUUCCUUGCUGGUGAUGAUGUAAAGGAAAAGAAGCCUGACCCAUCAAUAUACCUGACAGCUUCCAAGAGUGAACAUAAUUUACAUGAGCAUUGCAGAAGCUGGGUAUAUCAGAGAAAGACUGCUUGGUGGUAGAGGAUAGUGUUAUUGGGUUACAGGUAGCAACAAAAGCAGGAAUGUCAUGCGUGGUUACCUACACACCUUCCACAGCAGAUCAGGAUUUCAGUGAAGCCAUAGCAAUCUACCCUGACUUGAGUAACGUAAGAUUGAAAGAUUUGGAAUUAGUACUUGAAAAUGUAGUAGCUGCUAAAUAGAAGAUUUGCUUGCCUUGGAAAUGUUGCAAUUUCAGCUGCUCUGCAGUGGUUUCUAUCAGGAAAAUUGAUUCAAAUAUUUGAUGUUUACCACAAGGUUAAGAUCUCUAUCUCUCAAAAAAAACAUUUUUUUUCAUAUAUUAAUUGACAGACGAUGUAUACAUGUAAGUUAAAAUGUGACACAAUUCUUUGCAAGGUGUUGUAAAGAUCAUAAUUUAUUGUUUGUAUUUUUGUCAUAUUAAAUUGGAAUGCUUGCCAGAGAUUUCCUUUGACAA